GAGUUUGAUCGUGGCUCAGGAUGAACGCUGGCGGCGUGCCUAAUACAUGCAAGUCGAGCGAACGGACGAGAAGCUUGCUUCUCUGAUGUUAGCGGCGGACGGGUGAGUAACACGUGGAUAACCUACCUAUAAGACUGGGAUAACUUCGGGAAACCGGAGCUAAUACCGGAUAAUAUUUUGAACCGCAUGGUUCAAAAGUAAAAGACGGUCUUGCUGUCACUUAUAGAUGGAUCCGCGCUGCAUUAGCUAGUUGGUAAGGUAACGGCUUACCAAGGCAACGAUGCAUAGCCGACCUGAGAGGGUGAUCGGCCACACUGGAACUGAGACACGGUCCAGACUCCUACGGGAGGCAGCAGUAGGGAAUCUUCCGCAAUGGGCGAAAGCCUGACGGAGCAACGCCGCGUGAGUGAUGAAGGUCUUCGGGUCGUAAAACUCUGUUAUUAGGGAAGAACAUAUGUGUAAGUAACCGUGCACAUCUUGACGGUACCUAAUCAGAAAGCCACGGCU
rnacentral:rRNA from 1 species